rnacentral:rRNA from 1 species
GACGAACGCUGGCGGCGUGCUUAACACAUGCAAGUCGAACGGUAAGGCCCUUCGGGGUACACGAGUGGCGAACGGGUGAGUAACACGUGGGUGAUCUGCCCUGCACUUCGGGAUAAGCCUGGGAAACUGGGUCUAAUACCGGAUAGGACUCCGGACUGCAUGGUCUGGGGUGGAAAGCUUUUGCGGUGUGGGAUGGGCCCGCGGCCGAUCAGCUUAUUGGUGGGGUGAUGGCCUACCAAGGCGACGACGGGUAGCCGGCCUGAGAGGGUGACCGGCCACACUGGGACUGAGAUACGGCCCAGACUCCUACGGGAGGCAGCAGUGGGGAAUAUUGCACAAUGGGCGCAAGCCUGAUGCAGCGACGCCGCGUGAGGGAUGACGGCCUUCGGGUUGUAAACCUCUUUCAGCAUCGACGAAGCGAAAGUGACGGUAGGUGCAGAAGAAGGACCGGCCAACUACGUGCCAGCCGCCGCAGUAA